rnacentral:rRNA from 1 species
GAUGAACGCUGGCGGCGUGCCUAAUACAUGCAAGUCGAGCGAACGGACGAGAAGCUUGCUUUUCUGAUGUUAGCGGCGGACGGGUGAGUAACACGUGGAUAACCUACCUAUAAGACUGGGAUAACUUCGGGAAACCGGAGCUAAUACCGGAUAAUAUUUUGAACAGCAUGGUUCAAAAGUGAAAGACGGUCUUGCUGUCACUUAUAGAUGGAUCCGCGCUGCAUUGGCUAGUUGGUAAGGUAACGGCUUACCAAGGCAACGAUGCAUAGCCGACCUGAGAGGGUGAUCGGCCACACUGGAACUGAGACACGGUCCAGACUCCUACGGGAGGCAGCAGUAGGGAAUCUUCCGCAAUGGGCGAAAGCCUGACGGAGCAACGCCGCGUGAGUGAUGAAGGUCUUCGGAUCGUAAAACUCUGUUAUUAGGGAAGAACAUAUGUGUAAGUAACUGUGCACAUCUUGACGGUACCUAAUCAGAAAGCCACGGCUAACUACGUG